AUCAGAAGACUGAAAUUCCGAAAGCACAACUGCCCUACCCAAGGUCACACAGGGAGAAUCAGGAUAGGACAUUCAGCUGAAGACCCUGAUAAAUGGACCAACUGGAAAUGCCACUCUUCAGUACAACCUCUUGGAGAUGAUGUUGACUUCCCUGGAAAAUAGUGACAUUGUGUUUAACACAGCAGAAAGAUUCAUCAGAUUGCAGGUGCCUGAAGCAUUCUCCUGAGGAUGAUAGAAUCCCUUCAGGUCAGCCAGGAAGGUGACCUAGAAACACACAACUUCAGUCAGGGAAGCUGGCUCUCCAGGGCCUCAAGCUCAGCUAGCACUGUUUCCAUGACAACCACCAGGUCUGAUGCUUGGCCUUGAAUUGGGGCCUUGGCUGGUCCAGAGAAACAAUGUUUGGGAUGGAGAGAUGGAGAGGGACAGAACAUUUUCUACUAACUUGAAGGCCUUUCAACCCAUCUUUAUCUACUUAUCACUCCACUCAUUCCAGCAAAAAAGAGUCUAUCCUCCAGUAAACCACACUUUAAGUGCCAUUUGCUCAGCACAAAGACCUCUCACCCAUGGCUGGAUACAUUUCUGGAAACUGGAGGCAGAAUGCUAUAACAGGAAUGUUCUGAGAAUUACUGCAACAGUACCUACAAAGCCUUCAGGCUCUUUUGAAGAAAGAUACACUAGCCAUCCUGUGCUGUUACCGAGGGGCACUGUCAUGAUGAUAUAUUUUAAAAACAUUCUUCACUUGUAUUACUAAAAUAAACUCAGUUCACAGUAAACUAGAUCGGCCAAUAACCUGAUUUGCUUCUCUGGCUCUGGUGCUGCAUUUGCCUCUUACUCCCACUCAUCUUGCACUGUGAACAACAGCGGUCAGUGUCACCCUUGACUCCUAUGCAGAGACCCAUGGUGAGAGCUGGGAAGGACUGUAAAGACCAUUUAUCUAUGUCUUCCCAUCACAUAUAUGAGGCAACUGAAACACAGGGCCAGUGCUUUCCCCAAAGUCAUCUCAUUAGUGAAAACUCAAGACUCUGAUCUUCCGACCCUUCAUUCUGUGUCUCACCGAACCAUGAAAAGAAAGUAAUAAAGAGAAGAGGAAGGAAAAGAAAUACAGAAACAUAUAUUUUUGUCCUUUAAGCCUUUCAACUACUGCUCUGUGCAAUACUCAAGGAUGAAAAAGUAAGUAAGGGAAAAACCAAUACUUCACGAGUGCCUAUUAUGCACAGAGGCCCCAUAUUAGCUAUUUAUAAUUAAUUAAUUUAAUUGGAAGCUAAUUACUUUACAAUAUUGUGGUGGUUUCUGCCAUAUAUCAACACAAAUCAGCCAUGGGUGCAUGUGUGUCCCCUCAUCCUGAACUCCCCUCCCACCUCCAUCCCCACUCCAUCCCUCUGGGUUAUCCCAGAGCACUAGCUUUGAGUAUCCUGUUUCAUGCAUCAAACUUGCACUGGUCAUCUAUUUUACAUAUGGUAAUAUAC
rnacentral:lncRNA from 1 species